UACGGAGGGUGCAAGCGUUGUUCGGAAUCACUGGGCGUAAAGAGCGCGCAGGCGGUCCGAUCAGUCGAAUGUGAAAGCCCCCGGCUCAACUGGGGAGGGUCAUUCGAUACUGUCGGACUCGAAGGCAGGAGAGGGAAGCGGAAUUCCCGGUGUAGUGGUGAAAUGCGUAGAUAUCGGGAGGAACACCAGUGGCGAAGGCGGCUCCUGGCCUGGUUCUUGACGCUGAGGCGCGAAAGCUAGGGGAGCAAACGGG
rnacentral:rRNA from 1 species